rnacentral:rRNA from 1 species
GUAGGGAAUAUUGGGCAAUGGAUGCAAGUCUGACCCAGCCAUCCCGCGUGCCGGAAGAAGGCCCUCAGGGUUGUAAACGGCUUUUGACGGUGAAGAAUCGACAGGAUGCGUCCUGUUUUGACGGUAGCCGUUGAAUAAGCACCGGCUAACUCCGUGCCAGCAGCCGCGGUAAUACGGAGGGUGCGAGCGUUGUCCGGAUUUAGUGGGUUUAAAGGGUGCGUAGGCUGGAAGGUCAGUCAGCGGUGAAAAGCUGUCGCUUAACGAUAGUCUUGCCGCAGAUACUUCCUUUCGUGGAUGAGGAGGAGGCCACUGGAACGGAUGGUGUAGCGGUGAAAUGCAUAGAUAUCAUCCAGAACACCGAUUGCGAAGGCAGGUGGCUGUACCUUAAUCGACGCUGAUGCACGAAAGCAUGGGGAGCAAACAGGAUUAGAAACCCUGGUAGUCC